GGGACGGUGGCCAAGUGGUUAAGGCGCGCCGCUCGUAUGUAGUAGCCCCAACAAUUCUUGCUAGGUACUCCUCACGGCGAGAUCGCCGGUUCGACUCCGGCUCGUCCCA
rnacentral:tRNA from 1 species